CCAAUAGCGUAUAUUAAAGUUGUUGCAGUUAAAAAGCUCGUAGUUGAAUUUCGGGAUCAAUUUGCUGGUCGUGCCUUCGGUACGCACUGGUAUUAUUGGUUUCUCCUUUCUGAUGAAUCGCGAUGUCAUUAAUUUGGUGUCGUGGGGAAUCAGGACCGUUACUUUGAAAAAAUUAGAGUGUUUAAAGCAGGCUCACGCUUGAAUACAUUAGCAUGGAAUAAUGAAAUAGGACGUUUGAUUCUAUUUUGUUGGUUUCUAGGAUCGACGUAACGAUUAAUAGGGAUAGUUGGGGGCAUUAGUAUUCAAUUGUCAGAGGUGAAAUUCUUGGAUUUAUUGAAGACUAACUACUGCGAAAGCAUUUGCCAAGGAUGUUUUCAUUAAUCAAGAACGAAAGUUAGGGGAUCGAAGACGAUCAGAUACCGUCGUAGUCUUAACCAUAAACUAUGCCGACUAGGGAUCGGAUGAUGUUAAUUUUUUAAUGACUCAUUCGGCGCCUUACG
rnacentral:rRNA from 1 species